rnacentral:rRNA from 1 species
AAAACCCAAAGGCGAAAUGAAAGUAAAUAGCGGAAUAUUUAUUUUAUUGAAAUUAUUUCUUUAUUAUAAAUUUCCCUAUAGGGAAGAUGGAAGACUUGUUAGUAUAAGCAGUUUAUAACUUUUUGUUUUAAAUUGUGGCUAAUUAAGAAUUCUCGCACUCCCGGGGCGCUUGAUUCUCGCUUUGCGAGUCAGUGCGCACCUAGAGCGUACACGCUGAUACCCGAAAGAUGGUGAACUAUGCCUGGCCAGGACGAAGCCAGGGGAAACCCUGGUGGAGGUCCGCAGCGAUUCUGACGUGCAAAUCGAUCGUCGGAGCUGGGUAUAGGGGCGAAAGACCAAUCGAACCAUCUAGUAGCUGGUUCCCUCUGAAGUUUCCCUCAGGAUAGCUUGCGCUCGGUUGAGAAGAGUCUCAUCCGGUAGAGCGAAUGAUUAGAGGCAUUGGGGUCGAAACGACCUCAACCUAUUCUCAAACUCCAAAUAGAUGAGAUCCCCGGCUUUCUUAAAAAUGAAGCCGUUGGAAUAGGAUCAGAGUGCCAAGUGGGCCAAUUU